UACGAAUGGGGCAAGCGUUGUUCGGAAUCACUGGGCUUAAAGCGUACGUAGGUGGAUUUGUAAGUCGGGAGUGAAAUCCCAGGGCUCAACCCUGGAACUGCUUCCGAAACUGCAAGUCUAGAAUUCUGGAGAGGUUAGUGGAAUUCCUAGUGUAGAGGUGAAAUUCGCAGAUAUUAGGAGGAACACCAGUGGCGAAGGCGACUAACUGGACAGAUAUUGACACUGAGGUACGAAAGCGUGGGGAGCAAACAGG
rnacentral:rRNA from 1 species